rnacentral:rRNA from 1 species
AGCGAACACUGGCGGCAGGCCUAACACAUGCAAGUCGAACGAACUCUUCGGAGUUAGUGGCGGACGGGUGAGUAACACGUGGGAACGUGCCUUUUGGUUCGGAAUAACUCAGGGAAACUUGUGCUAAUACCGAAUGUGCCCUUCGGGGGAAAGAUUUAUCGCCAUUAGAGCGGCCCGCGUCUGAUUAGCUAGUUGGUGAGGUAACGGCUCACCAAGGCGACGAUCAGUAGCUGGUCUGAGAGGAUGACCAGCCACACUGGGACUGAGACACGGCCCAGACUCCUACGGGAGGCAGCAGUGGGGAAUCUUGCGCAAUGGGCGAAAGCCUGACGCAGCCAUGCCGCGUGAAUGAUGAAGGUCUUAGGAUUGUAAAAUUCUUUCACCGGGGACGAUAAUGACGGUACCCGGAGAAGAAGCCCCGGCUAACUUCGUG